AAAAAGACAAACCCUAGGUUUCCGUGUCCAACGUUUGACUGUCCGUCUUAUAUGAAAUUUUUUUAUAAUUAGUAUUUUCAUUGUUGUUAGAUGAUAAAAUAUGAUUAAUACUUUAUGUGUGAUUUGUUUUUUUAAUUUUUUUCAUAUUUUUUUUAAAUAAAACGGACGGUCAAAUGUUUGACACGGAAACCCAGGGUUUGUCUUUUU
rnacentral:pre_miRNA from 1 species